AACCACAAAAUUAAUUCAUUCUUAUCGUUCCACCUCACCAUCUCUAUUUCCAACCACUUAUUCAAAUUUCAAAUUUCCACUCUACCUUCCUCUCUCACUUAAAUUAUUCAAUUUUAUGAUCACACUCUCUCUCCACGUGGGCCCCACCACACCCAAUCGGAAUUAGUUUUUCCUCACUCUCUCUCAUGUGCACCCCUAUCUUCCUCACUCUCGACAUCUCUUUCUCUCCCUCACGCUUCACUUUCUUCUUCUUCACCUGAUUUCCCUGCAACACCUCAACAUAAUCUUCUUCUCCUCCAAGGUGCAGCACCCAACCAUCAUCAUCACCAGACCUUCUUCUUUCUCUACUCACGCGAGCACCACAGCCGCCCUGGUCACCACCGCCACGCCUCCUUCAUGAGCGAACGCACCACCCCCAUAGGUGACCGCCGCCGCCUCUCCUCCUUCCUCCAGCAAGGACGCGAGUCACAGCCACCAUCACGAUGUUGUUCUCCACGGACUCGACGGCCACCGCCACGUGAACACGCAGAAAUCAACACCACCAUGAAACCCUAAAACCGCCACCUUUCUCCUCCGAUCUCCGGUGAACUGCUCAUCGUUUUGGGAAACCAACACCACGAUUAGACUCCCCUCGAAGCCAGCUUCAAAACCCCUAAACCAAUUUCUGAUUCCGACCAUCUCCGCCGCGAACCGCCGCCGGAGGUGAUUUCCGGCGAGUCCCUCAACCUGUAAUCGACCAUUGCUUCCUCCUUUGAGCUCUGUUUGCAACGAGACCACCACAAUCGUGCUCCACUCGAAGUGGAGGUCACGACCAUCCUCUCCCUUCCUCUCCGGCCACAACGCCGCCGUGCACCUCCGUUUUCUCCGGUGAGACCUUCGCCGGAGAAUUUCCAGAAGGUUGUUCAGUGUUUGAGGAGUUAAAGGUUGUGAGCCAUGCUCUGCCCUCAAGAAGAAGAUGGUAAACCCAUAUGAAUAUUUCUUCUGUAUUAUUGUUGCUGUCACGCGAUUAUAGUAGCUGCUGAUCUGUUAAAUAGUUAGGUUUAGUGAACGAAUUUGAAGUAGUCUUCAUAAAAAUUGUAGCAUUUUCGGUUAGCAAACUUUUGCCACUGGUUUCAUGUCAUUUCGAUUUCUCUAGCUCUAGUUAUACGCAUUUUAGUGAGCACGGGUUAAGCUGUCCCAUUUCUCACGAACUGCUGUAGUAUUUGAUUUUUCCUGAAUUUUGUACUUCGAUUUUGGACUUGAAAAUUUAUGAGGAUUUACAAAAGCUGUAGAUGAAGUCAGGAUAUAAAUAUUAGAUUUUUCGGAGUUUAUUUGAUGUAUUUAAAAAUUAUCCAAAGUCGUUGUACAGUUUAUAAUUGCUUGACAAAAUCACUUAUUUCAA